rfam:Felis catus isolate Cinnamon breed Abyssinian chromosome B4, whole genome shotgun sequence.
GCCUGGGUGGCUCAGUUGGUUGAGCAUCUGACUUCGGCUCAGGUCAUCAUCUCACAGCUUGUGAGUUCAAGCCCCGCAUCAGGCU